rnacentral:rRNA from 1 species
GACGAACGCUGGCGGCGUGCCUAAUACAUGCAAGUAGAACGCAGUUGCGACCGGGUGAGUAACGCGUAGGUACCUGCCUCAUAGCGGGGAGUAACUAUUGGAACCGAUAGCUAAUCCCGCAUACUUUGAGAUGGACCUGCGUUGUAUUAGCUAGUUGGUGAGGUAAAGGCUCAACAAGGCGAAGAUACAUAGCCGAACUGAUAGGGUGGUCCGGCACACUUGGAAGGGGAAACGGCCCAGACUUCGUCGGGAGGCAGGCGUAGGGAAACUUCGGCAAUGGACGGAAGUCUGACCGAGCAACGCCGCGGGAGUGAAGAAGGUUUUUGGAUCGGAAAGCUCUUGUGGUAGAGAAGCGGUAACUAACCAGAAAGGGACGGCUAACUACGUGCCAGCAGCCGCGGUAAUAC